rnacentral:lncRNA from 1 species
GAGGCAGUUGCUGAAGGAGAGAACAGGUGGAGGCCAUCUGACAGUGACAUUCCUCAAAGCUGGGCAGCACAUUCUUCCUUGAAGGGGUCUGUCUGACACACCUCCGUAUCUGCCACAUGGGAAUAGGGUGAGUUUUAUUUUCCUUUAGUUUGUAUUUCUGUGUAUUCCACAUUUCCAAUAAUGAAUGAGUGGCUUUUUAACCACAAAUGAAAUAAAAGUUAUUAUUAUAAUAUAUAGCAACCAACAAUCUUAACUAUUGAACAGUUGGUUAGUUACUUAUUAACUGUCUGUUUCAGAAAGUUAUGUGCAGACCCCUUCCAAGUAAACACAUUCCAUCCCAAUAAAUCAAGGCGUUAUUAAUCCUCCCGUGCAAUUGAAAGAAAAUGAUUCUUCUGCAGCAUCAGUUGAUAUUUGUCAUUUUGAAAUAUACAUAGGCAGUGGACAUCAAUUUCAGCUAUUGCCAAUGUUAAUUUUAUCCUGUAUCUCUACCAGAGUGUAAAAGACUGGAUCCUUCCAACAAUAUUAGUCACAGUGUAUAAACCUUGGAAAGCAUUAUUUUAUCAUCUUUUGGAAGAAUGGAGUUCUCACAGCAGGCUUAAAGCAGUAGAGACUUCCAAAGGGGGUCAUGGUGGAAAAAAGGAAGAGAGUCGACUAUCAUCCUCCAAUAAUGCCGGUAAAAAAACUUGUCAGAUCCUCACACGAAAGGGACCUUCUAAGAACAAGAUGCAAGUAGAAUCAUCAGAGUGACGGCUUUUCAAACUUUAAAUUAUUUAUGGGUUAUGUACUCGGAUCCUGGGCAGGCUGGUGUCAAGAGAGCUUCAUCCAGAAAAGAAUAAAAAUUUCCUGAUUUUACUGAUGGAAAGAUGAACUGAGGGAGCAAGAAAAUUAUACAGAGAAUUUUACAGACCCAAAGGCUGAGAGAAAUGUAGGGCUGCUGGGUUUCCUACAUCAAUCUGGAAUAACUGCACUGAGAUGUUGGGAAUUCAUCCAUGCAAAAUUACUUGAGUAGAAAAAUUAUUUUCUACUACAAACCCACAAAAUAGAGGAUCAAUAAACUGCCAGGAGAUAGAAAACACUGAGUAAUCACGUGUAUCAAACUGAAGAGCUGUUGCUGCUGUAUACUUCGGAGACUCUGCUGUAUGUCUAAUUAAGCAACUGAAAUGAUUUUUGGACUAUAACAUGUACUUUAAAAGUGGAAUUUGAAGGGCAACUCUGUCUUUUCUAGGUUUAACCUGUGCAAGUAUGAAUCUUGAGUCACCAGUGGUGAGACUCAGCAAAAUCUCUAGGUAAUGAUUCAACUGGGUUAGGACAAGGCUGAACCGAUCACGGAUUCGUUUAGCAAAACAUGCAGAAUCGUCAAGCUCUCUUAACCUUGUUGGGGAUUUAGGAGGUAUUUUUGUUUUUGUUUGUUUGUUCUCAUCUUGUUUUUGUUUUGCAUGCUACCACCUGCAGCUGUUAGAGCAGUGAAUAGAACCAAAAUUGGGGAGUUUAGCUUCUAGCGCAGGGUGUGCUGGUGGUAGAUAAGCAAUAAAUAAAAUGAAUAAGUAAAUUUGAAUCAGUUGAUAUUUAGAGUGCAAUUAGGUACCAUGGAUAAAAAUCAUGCUAUGAAAGAUGUAUAGGGAAAAGGGAGGGAGGAGAAGGGAAAUUUGAAGUCAGUAGAAGAGGGAAGGCCUUGAUGUGAAGGGGACAUUUGAACAAAGACUUGAAAAAGGCAGGAGCAUGCGGUGUGAGUAUCUUGGAAAUGAUUGCUGCAGGCAGAGGAAACAGCAAAUGCAAAGGCCCUGCAUCACUCAGAGCAGGAGAUCGAUGACACAAUCAAAUUGGAUAUUGUGAAGAGAGUUUUUAAAAGUGUUAAUUAUAAACCUGUGAGCAGGUUAUAGGGAAAUGACAAGGGGCAGUAUAGUAUUUAGGAGACGAAGACAGUGGGGUGCUAUCAUCAUCACUAAGCCUGCCUGAGUGGCAGGAAAGUAGCUAUUAGAAUUUAGAGUAAGAGACAGCUGUGUUGAGAGUCUGCCCACCAGGAGCUGUGACCCUUAGGCCGAGGAUGUGGCAUCUGCAUAAACACUGCAGGAAAGAAGCACUGGAGUAAAGACCCACUGACCCCACUCUUGUCCCUUCCUUACAUCUUCAUCUGAGCUCCCCAUUGGACGAAACCGACCUGGAAGCAGAGGUCCGGGGAGAGAAUUGAGAUGGGUCAUAGAGUUUAUCCUUCCAGGGCAUAAAACAGGCUUGAGAAGGGUGGAGAGUGUCUGUGCCUGGAAGGGCAAACAAAAGGCAUCUGGCACAGCUCUAAGCUGAGAUCAUGGCUGAUGUGAAGAGGAGUAGCAAGGCUGUCACUGUGAUUAUAGAGGAAGGAUUGAGGAGGGGAAUAUCAGGAGAUGAGUUCAGACAAAUUGCAGAGUAGAGUUUCAUGGGCAUUGUCAGGCAUUGAGAAGUCCUUAGCUAUCACUGUGAGUCAAAUAGAGAGCUGUGGAAGAGUUCUGUGUGAGGCGAUGAUGUGAGCAGACAUCACUUAAAAGUAUCUCCCUGGCUGCUGAGUUAAGAACAGACUGACGUGGGGCAAGGGUGGAAUCAUGAGACCAAGGAGGAUGCUUUUGCCUAAUUUGGGCGAGAGAGAGUGGUUUGAACAGAUGGAUGCAGUGGAGGUUGUAAGAAUGGAGAGGUUUCUGAAUACAUUUUAAAAGUAGAGCCAAUCAGAUUUGCUGAUAGAUUGAAUUGGAGGGAGGUGUGUGAGGGAAAGAGAGGAGUCAAGGAAUCGAGGAUGACUCUGAAUUGGAAGCAUGGAGUUGCCAUGGAUUGAUUUGAGAACACUGCGGAAGGAGUGCAGUUAUUGAGGAAAACUCAAACAUUGGUUUUGGAUAUGUUGAGCUUGAGAUGUCUCUUGGGAUGUGAGGAAUAGGCAGUUGGCUUUAUGAGUCUUGACUUUAAAAGAGAGAUUAUAGUGAAUUCUUAUAAUUUUAUGAUGCCUCGGCAUCAAUUUUGAGUGUAAGUUGGACCUUCAUAUGCCAACAACAGGGCUUUGUCACCUGUGACACAGUUUACAGUUCUCUGCCUUCUCCUAGUCUCUCACUGUCAUCAAUACAGCCACCUCCUGGUAACCACCUCCCUAUGGGAGAGCUAGAUACAACCUCCUUGACUCACCACACUAUUUUCCUAUUUAUGAAACAGGGUGGAUCUCUUUUUCCUCUGUCUUCUCAAACAUACACUCUUUCAAAACCCUCUGUGGCCUAACCUUUCUCUGGCGAUACAAGUCAUGCUUGGUUUAACCCCCAAGCCCAGCAUAGACAGUGUGGCUAUGCCACAGUGAUCACCUCUCAGUCACAGUGUACCUCCAUGGAACUCAUGCCUGCUUGCUCAAACCUAUCAAUUAGAAAUCCCCUUGGUAAACCUGCUUGGGGAAUGCCCUGGACUUCGGUAAAGGCAUUGGCUCACAGGUCCUUUUCUCUCUCUCUCUUGCCGCCCACUCACUGGUUGAGUGUGUAUGUCCUGGAUGACUACCCCCUUCCCAUUGGCCCUGAGAGGCAUGCUGCCCUCUUCAUUCUGGGAUCUGUAAUUAAUAAACUGUUUCUGCAUUUCAUGAGUUUUGUUGUGUUGCAUCCUCUGUGUCUCACCUAACUAACACACUUGAAUCUAACUUCUUUCCUAGUCAGGGGUCUCUUAGAGAGCAGUGAUCUUAGUAGGAAUAAACUGAUAUAGGUCAGACAAAAGCCACAAGGGCAUCUUGCAGUAUAAACAGGUUUCCUGUGAAAGAGACACCUGGUAGCAAGUCAGACACUCAGGCAUUAGGUCAUCCACUGGGAUAAAGAAGUAUCACGGGUGUGGUGGCUCAUGCCUGCAAUCCCAGCACUUUUGGAGGCCAAAACGAGUGGAUCACCUGAUGUCAGGAGUUCGACACCAGCCUGGCCAACAUGGCAAAGCCCCAUCUCUACCAAAAAUACAAAAAUUAGCUGGGUGUGGUGGCGGGUGCCUGUAGUCCCAGCUACUCAGGAGGCUGAGGCAGGAGAAUGGCUUGAACUUGGGAGGUUGAGGUUGCAGUGAGCUGACAUCACAGCACUGCACUGCAGCCCAGGCAACUAAGACCCCGUCCCAAAAAACAAAACAAAACAAAUGAAACAACAACAACAACAACAACAACAAAGGAAGUAUCAAGUGAAAGGCACAUUGUAAACAUCCACGACCCCCUUCCCUGGAGCCCUGUGAGGGCAGGGCUAGAAUUUAUAGACACACUCCAGAGAGAGAGAGAGAGAGAGAGAGAGAGAGAGAGAGAGAGAGAGACCUCAAGAGCAAAUCAGAGGAAAU